AUAAUAAUUAGUCUUUUAAAUGAAGGCUGGAACGAAUGAUUGGACGAAGUAAAUUCUGUCUCAUCAAAACUAAAAUUUAAAUUUAAUUUUUUAGUUAAAAAGCUAAAAUAUUAUUAAAGGACGAGAAGACCCUAUAGAGCUUUAUAUUAUUUUUUUUAAUGAGUUUUAAUUUUAUUUUAUUGAUUAAAUUUUAUUUUACUGGGGCGAUAGGAAGACUUAUUUAACUUUUUUCAGUUUAUUACCUUAAUUUAUGACUUUUUGAUCCUGGAAUUUAGCUUAUUAGAUUGAGUUACCUUAGGGAUCACAGCG
rnacentral:rRNA from 1 species